UGGCCCCGCGCCCUGUGGUUUUCUGAGGCCCCCGAGGAGGAAGUGCGGGCUCCCGGCAUGCCUCGCAUCCGGCCCCAGCCCUGAGCUACCUCAGGCCGCCCCUGGCCAGCCCUGAGGCCCGCCCCUCAGCCCACCACUGUCAGCCGGAGCAGGCCGGCUCGGAGGGGCGGGCCCGGGGCCUACCCUCAGGCAGCGCUCGCUCGAGGCCAGCUUCCGAGCUCCAACCCCUGCCCGAAACCUUGGCCUCACUGAACCAGGUCCUCAGUGGUGGGCCCACACUCACUCGCUCCGGAAAGCCAGUUCCCAUCACGCUGAGCACUGCAAAGCAACUGCCACCACAGGGUAGAAAAUGAUGUGGGUUCCACUCAGCGAGAGGACCUACCAUAUCGAAAACACGUUUAGGUUCUCUGAGUAUGCAUGCGAAGCCGCCAUGUAAACUGCGUUUCUUGCUCCAGUCCUGUUGCAGAUCUAAGAACCAUUUUGGGAAGGUCGUUGGACUCAGGAAAAUGUUCAGUUGGAGGCGAUGACCUGAAGGAAAGACAGUUAUGUCCACAGUCAGUAACUCCUGCCUACCUCCUUUCUUGUUUCCUCAGGGCUCCCACUUCUAGAAUGCCAGGUCCAUAAUGCCACACAUAAAAUGGGAAGAUUCUUCUCUGGAAAAACUGAACAGUCCAAGAGGAAAGACCUAAAGAUACUGACAUUGGAGGUCCUCCACUAAAAUGGCCUCGCCAGAUCACCUGACAGAGAAUCCACUAUUGAUGAACCCCAUCUAAGGCUCAGAGCUACCAAUCAGCCCACCCACUCUGGGUAAAAAUACCACCCCCACUCUGAAAUAAAAGCAGAUGGUUA